rnacentral:rRNA from 1 species
GUUGUAUGGUUAAGUGACUAAGCGUACACGGUGGAUGCCUAGGCAGUCAGAGGCGAUGAAGGACGUACUAACUUGCGAUAAGCGCAGAUAAGGCAGUAAGAGCCGUUUGAGUCUGCGAUUUCCGAAUGGGGAAACCCAACUGCACAAGCAGUUACUGUUAACUGAAUACAUAGGUUAACAGAGCAAACCGGGGGAACUGAAACAUCUAAGUACCCCGAGGAGAAGAAAUCAACCGAGAUUCCGGUAGUAGCGGCGAGCGAACCUGGAUUAGCCCUUAAGCACUCGUUGAAGUAGGUGAACAAGCUGGAAAGCUUGGCGAUACAGGGUGAUAGCCCCGUAACCGACGCUUCAUCGAGCGUGAAAUCGAGUAGGGCGGGACACGUGAUAUCCUGUCUGAAUAUGGGGGGACCAUCCUCCAAGGCUAAAUACUCCUGACUGACCGAUAGUGAACCAGUACCGUGAGGGAAAGGCGAAAAGAACCCCUGUGAGGGGAGUGAAAUAGAACCUGAAACCGUGUACGUACAAGCAGUAGGAGCACCUUCGUGGUGUGACUGCGUACCUUUUGUAUAAUGGGUCAGCGACUUAUAUUCAGUGGCAAGGUUAACCGUAUAGGGGAGCCGUAGCGAAAGCGAGUCUUAACUGGGCGCUCAGUCUCUGGAUAUAGACCCGAAACCGGGUGAUCUAGCCAUGGGCAGGUUGAAGGUUGAGUAACAUCAACUGGAGGACCGAACCGACUAAUGUUGAAAAAUUAGCGGAUGACUUGUGGCUAGGGGUGAAAGGCCAAUCAAACUCGGAGAUAGCUGGUUCUCCCCGAAAGCUAUUUAGGUAGCGCCUCGGACGAAUACUACUGGGGGUAGAGCACUGUUAAGGCUAGGGGGUCAUCCCGACUUACCAACCCUUUGCAAACUCCGAAUACCAGUAAGUACUAUCCGGGAGACACACGGCGGGUGCUAACGUCCGUCGUGGAGAGGGAAACAACCCAGACCGCCAGCUAAGGUCCCAAAGUAUUGCUAAGUGGGAAACGAUGUGGGAAGGCUCAGACAGCUAGGAUGUUGGCUUAGAAGCAGCCAUCAUUUAAAGAAAGCGUAAUAGCUCACUAGUCGAGUCGGCCUGCGCGGAAGAUGUAACGGGGCUAAGCAAUACACCGAAGCUGCGGCAAUGUCUUUUAGACAUUGGGUAGGGGAGCGUUCUGUAAGCCGUUGAAGGUGGUCUGUAAGGGCUGCUGGAGGUAUCAGAAGUGCGAAUGCUGACAUGAGUAACGACAAAGGGGGUGAAAAACCUCCUCGCCGGAAGACCAAGGGUUCCUGUCCAACGUUAAUCGGGGCAGGGUGAGUCGACCCCUAAGGUGAGGCCGAAAGGCGUAAUCGAUGGGAAACGGGUUAAUAUUCCCGUACUUCUGACUAUUGCGAUGGGGGGACGGAGAAGGCUAGGUGGGCCAGGCGACGGUUGUCCUGGUUCAAGUGCGUAGGCUUAAGAGUUAGGUAAAUCCGGCUCUUUCUAAGGCUGAGACACGACGUCGAGCUGCUACGGCAGUGAAGUCAUUGAUGCCAUGCUUCCAGGAAAAGCCUCUAAGCUUCAGAUAGUCAGGAAUCGUACCCCAAACCGACACAGGUGGUCGGGUAGAGAAUACCAAGGCGCUUGAGAGAACUCGGGUGAAGGAACUAGGCAAAAUGGUACCGUAACUUCGGGAGAAGGUACGCUCUUGAUGGUGAAGUCCCUUGCGGAUGGAGCUGACGAGAGUCGCAGAUACCAGGUGGCUGCAACUGUUUAUUAAAAACACAGCACUGUGCAAAAUCGCAAGAUGACGUAUACGGUGUGACGCCUGCCCGGUGCCGGAAGGUUAAUUGAUGGGGUUAGCGCAAGCGAAGCUCUUGAUCGAAGCCCCGGUAAACGGCGGCCGUAACUAUAACGGUCCUAAGGUAGCGAAAUUCCUUGUCGGGUAAGUUCCGACCUGCACGAAUGGCGUAAUGAUGGCCACGCUGUCUCCACCCGAGACUCAGUGAAAUUGAAAUCGCUGUGAAGAUGCAGUGUACCCGCGGCUAGACGGAAAGACCCCGUGAACCUUUACUACAGCUUGGCACUGAACAUUGAACCUACAUGUGUAGGAUAGGUGGGAGGCUAUGAAGACGUGACGC